rnacentral:rRNA from 1 species
UACGGAGGAUGCGAGCGUUAUCCGGAUUUAUUGGGUUUAAAGGGUGCGUAGGCGGGCUUUUAAGUCAGCGGUAAAAAUUCGGGGCUCAACCCCGUCCGGCCGUUGAAACUGGGGGCCUUGAGUGGGCGAGAAGAAGGCGGAAUGCGUGGUGUAGCGGUGAAUGCAUAGAUAUCACGCAGAACCCCGAUUGCGAAGGCAGCCUUCCGGCGCCCUACUGACGCUGAGGCACGAAAGUGCGGGGAUCGAACAGG